GAGAAAUUCGGUGAGCCUUUUGUGAAAUGGGUCAAUGAAACCAAUGAAACAGGGCUUCCUUAUGACCUUGUCGUGGGAGAUGAUGAAUACAUAGAGAUAAAGACAACUAGAUCGUCAACAAAGGAUUGGUUCCAUAUUACCGCAAGGGAAUGGCAGUUUGCGGUUGAGAAGGGUGAAUCUUUUAGCAUUGCCCAUGUUUUCUUAUCGCCCAAUAAUACAGGAGUAGUGACAGUAUACAAAAAUCCAUUCAAACUCUAUCGACUUGGUAAACUACGGUUAGCUCUCCUAA
rnacentral:misc_RNA from 1 species